GCGCCGGUGGUGUAGGGCGUAGCAUCGCUGCCCGGAAGGCAGAGGGCACGGGUUCGAGUCCCGCCUGGCACA
rnacentral:tRNA from 1 species